GACGAACGCUGGCGGCGUGCCUAAUACAUGCAAGUCGAGCGAGUCUGCCUUGAAGAUCGGAGUGCUUGCACUCUGUGAAACAAGAUACAGGCUAGCGGCGGACGGGUGAGUAACACGUGAGUAACCUGCCCAAGAGAUCGGGAUAACACCUGGAAACAGAUGCUAAUACCGGAUAACAACAGAUGAUGCCUAUCAACUGUUUAAAAGAUGGUUCUGCUAUCACUCUUGGAUGGACCUGCGGUGCAUUAGCUAGUUGGUAGGGUAACGGCCUACCAAGGCGAUGAUGCAUAGCCGAGUUGAGAGACUGAUCGGCCACAUUGGGACUGAGACACGGCCCAAACUCCUACGGGAGGCAGCAGUAGGGAAUCUUCCACAAUGGACGCAAGUCUGAUGGAGCAACGCCGCGUGAGUGAAGAAGGGUUUCGGCUCGUAAAGCUCUGUUGUUGGUGAAGAAGGACAGGGGUAGUAACUGACCUUUGUUUGACGGUAAUCAAUUAGAAAGUCACGGCUAACUACGUG
rnacentral:rRNA from 1 species